UUUCCCUCAGGAUAGCUGGCACUCGCUUGAGCGAGUCUCAUCUGGUAAAGCGAAUGAUUAGAGGCCUUGGGGCCGAAACGACCUCAACCUAUUCUCAAACUUUAAAUGGGUGAGAUCUCUGGCUUGCUUGAACGUUGAAGCCACGAGAUUUUUCGUAAAUGGAUCAGAGUGCCAAGUGGGCCAAUUUUGGUAAGCAGAACUGGCGCUGUGGGA
rnacentral:rRNA from 1 species